CGUUAGCCUUGAACUUGUCACUUUUAAAAUGAUGAAGUUGGGUACAGGUUGAAGUUUAUGUCUGGAGAAAUUAACUCUCCACUAUUUCUGGCCUACCUGGAUAUGGGCAGCACAUGCUCUUCAGGCAGAGGAAGUCCAGAGUCAAAGAGACACAAAUGCUUGAGUUUCAACAAUGUCCUUGGAGAGGGCCAGAAAAGAGCAAGAGGAAUUGGAAGCCACACGGUAUCUGACAAGGCUUGUUCAUUAUCACAGGUGAGAUGCACCCAGGGAUUUGCCAGAACUACUUGGGCAGUUUUGAUUGAUGGCUGCA
rnacentral:lncRNA from 1 species